AUUGAACGCUGGCGGCAUGCCUUACACAUGCAAGUCGAACGGUAACAGGUCUUCGGAUGCUGACGAGUGGCGAACGGGUGAGUAAUACAUCGGAACGUGCCCGAUCGUGGGGGAUAACGAAGCGAAAGCUUUGCUAAUACCGCAUACGAUCUACGGAUGAAAGCGGGGGAUCUUCGGACCUCGCGCGGACGGAUCGGCCGAUGGCAGAUUAGGUAGUUGGUGGGAUAAAAGCUUACCAAGCCGACGAUCUGUAGCUGGUCUGAGAGGAUGAUCAGCCACACUGGGACUGAGACACGGCCCAGACUCCUACGGGAGGCAGCAGUGGGGAAUUUUGGACAAAGGGCGCAAGCCUGAUCCAGCCAUGCCGCGUGCAGGAUGAAGGCCUUCGGGUUGUAAACUGCUUUUGUACGGAACGAAAAGGUGCCUUCUAAUAAAGGGCGCUCAUGACGGUACCGUAAGAAUAAGCACCGGCUAACUACGUG
rnacentral:rRNA from 1 species